GACGAACGCUGGCGGCGUGCUUAACACAUGCAAGUCGAACGAUGAUGCCCAGCUUGCUGGGCGGAUUAGUGGCGAACGGGUGAGUAACACGUGAGUAACCUGCCCCUGACUCUGGGAUAAGCGUUGGAAACGACGUCUAAUACUGGAUAUGAUCGCCGACCGCAUGGUCUGGUGGUGGAAAGAUUUGUUGGUUGGGGAUGGACUCGCGGCCUAUCAGCUUGUUGGUGAGGUAAUGGCUCACCAAGGCGACGACGGGUAGCCGGCCUGAGAGGGUGACCGGCCACACUGGGACUGGGACACGGCCCAGACUCCUACGGGGGGCAGCAGUGGGGAAUAUUGCACAAUGGGCGAAAGCCUGAUGCAGCAACGCCGCGUGAGGGAUGACGGCCUUCGGGUUGUAAACCUCUUUUAGUAGGGAAGAAGCGAAAGUGACGGUACCUGCAGAAAAAGCACCGGCUAACUACGUG
rnacentral:rRNA from 1 species